rnacentral:rRNA from 1 species
GGCUGUCCUCAGCUCGUGUUGUGAAAUGUUGGGUUAAGUCCCGCAACGAGCGCAACCCUUAUCCUUUGUUGCCAGCGGUUAGGCCGGGAACUCAAAGGAGACUGCCAGUGAUAAACUGGAGGAAGGUGGGGAUGACGUCAAGUCAUCAUGGCCCUUACGAGUAGGGCUACACACGUGCUACAAUGGCGCAUACAAAGAGAAGCGACCUCGCGAGAGCAAGCGGACCUCAUAAAGUGCGUCGUAGUCCGGAUUGGAGUCUGCAACUCGACUCCAUGAAGUCGGAAUCGCUAGUAAUCGUG